rnacentral:rRNA from 1 species
CCUACGGGAGGCAGCAGUGAGGAAUAUUGGUCAAUGGCCGGAAGGCUGAACCAGCCAUGCCGCGUGAAGGUCAGUGCCCUAUGGGCGUUAAACUUCUUUUGUGCGGGAGCAAUAAUGGUCACGUGUGGCCAGACGAGAGUACCGUACGAAUAAGCAUCGGCUAACUCCGUGCCAGCAGCCGCGGUAAUACGGGGGAUGCAAGCGUUAAUCGGAAUUACUGGGCGUAAAGCGCUCGUAGGCGGUAUGUCAAGUCAAGGGUGAAAUCCCCGCGCUCAACGUGGGAACUGCCUUUGAAACUGGCAAACUGGAGUGUGUGAGAGGAUAGUGGAAUUCCAGGUGUAGGAGUGAAAUCCGUAGAUAUCUGGAGGAACAUCGGUGGCGAAGGCGGCCUGCUGGACUGCAACUGACGUUGAGGCCCGAAAGCGUGGGGAGCAAACAGGAUUAGAUACCCGGGUAGUC